rnacentral:rRNA from 1 species
CCUACGGGCGGCUGCAGUGGGGAACAUUGCACAAUGGGCGCAAGCCUGAUGCAGCCAUGCCGCGUGUGUGAAGAAGGCCUUCGGGUUGUAAAGCACUUUCAGCGGGGAGGAAGGCGGUGAGGUUAAUAACCUCAUCGAUUGACGUUACCCGCAGAAGAAGCACCGGCUAACUCCGUGCCAGCAGCCGCGGUAAUACGGAGGGUGCAAGCGUUAAUCGGAAUUACUGGGCGUAAAGCGCACGCAGGCGGUCUGUCAAGUCGGAUGUGAAAUCCCCGGGCUCAACCUGGGAACUGCAUUCGAAACUGGCAGGCUAGAGUCUUGUAGAGGGGGGUAGAAUUCCAGGUGUAGCGGUGAAAUGCGUAGAGAUCUGGAGGAAUACCGGUGGCGAAGGCGGCCCCCUGGACAAAGACUGACGCUCAGGUGCGAAAGCGUGGGGAGCAAACAGGAUUAGAUACCCGGGUAGUC